rnacentral:misc_RNA from 1 species
GUCCCAUUGUAUAUUCGCAGUCGUAGCUCAUUAAAGCGAUCUUCAAAGUACCAACCACGCUGUCCAACAUAUAUAUCAAUGUCAGAUCCAAUUGAUCUAUUACAAAAUUAGACUGUCUGUGAAAAUUCAUGUACAAACUGUAGACACAUAUAGUACAAUGUAGCAGUGUCGUUAUCGUGUGUAUUAAUAUUUGGGCGUUGAAUAUAUCGUUCACCAUCUUCGAUACUUUGCACACUUGCAGAUGCAGGAACC